CCUACGGGGGGCAGCAGUGGGGAAUAUUGCGCAAUGGGCGAAAGCCUGACGCAGCGACGCCGCGUGAGGGAUGAAGGUCUUCGGAUCGUAAACCUCUGUCAGCAGGGAAGAACGGUCACUGUGCUAAUCAGCAGUGAAUUGACGGUACCUGCAAAGGAAGCACCGGCUAACUCCGUGCCAGCAGCCGCGGUAAUACGGAGGGUGCGAGCGUUAAUCGGAAUUACUGGGCGUAAAGCGCUUGUAGGCGGGAUGGCAAGUCAAGGGUGAAAUCCCCGCGCUCAACGUGGGAACUGCCUUUGAAACUGGCAGACUGGAGUGUGUGAGAGGUUAGUGGAAUUCCAGGUGUAGGCGUGAAAUCCGUAGAUAUCUGGAGGAACAUCAGUGGCGAAGGCGACUAUCUGGCACAUAACUGACGCUGAGGAGCGAAAGCGUGGGUAGCAAACAGGAUUAGAUACCCCGGUAGUC
rnacentral:rRNA from 1 species